rnacentral:rRNA from 1 species
GAUGAACGCUGGCGGCGUGCUUAACACAUGCAAGUCGAACGAAGCACUCUAUUUGAUUUUCUUCGGAAAUGAAGACUUUGUGACUGAGUGGCGGACGGGUGAGUAACGCGUGGGUAACCUGCCUCAUACAGGGGGACAACAGUUGGAAACGACUGCUAAUACCGCAUAAGCGCACAGUAUUGCAUGAUACAGUGUGAAAAACUCCGGUGGUAUGAGAUGGACCCGCGUCUGAUUAGCUAGUUGGUGGGGCAACGGCCUACCAAGGCGACGAUCAGUAGCCGACCUGAGAGGGUGACCGGCCACAUUGGGACUGAGACACGGCCCAAACUCCUACAGGAGGCAGCAGUGGGGAAUAUUGCACAAUGGGGGAAACCCUGAUGCAGCGACGCCGCGUGAACGAAGAAGUAUUUCGGUAUGUAAAGUUCUAUCAGCAGGGAAGAUAAUGACGGUACCUGACUAAGAAGCACCGGCUAAAUACGUGCCAGCCGCCGCAGUAA